ACAAACACUGGCGUAGAGACAAAUCUAAAAUAAUAUUCAACGCGUUGUUUUCGUUUACGGCUACUACAUAAUAUAAUAUAAAGUGGACAAAUAUGAUAAACCUACAUAUAGUCAUCUCGUUUCGGUUUAUUUGGAUCGCCGUCGUAGUAGAUAACUCGAGACGAACCGUAUAUAUGCGAACGUCACGCUCUGGUUUUCAUUACCAAUAACGAUAUUAUGAGAUAGGGUGUACCAAACAAUGAUGUUAAGGCCGAUUGUGGUUUGUAGGUAAUAUAUGAACAUCUAAUGUGUGAUCCGCAUGAAAUUCACGAAGAGUCAUGAUAAUACAUAUUAUUGUAUAGAAGCAGGUACAACUUCGACGGGACUUAUAAGUAAUAAUAAUGUAUCACCGUAGAACGUGGAUAUGUUUUAUAUUACACAUCAUGUAAUCUAUGAUACGUAGAUCUUUCACGAACUGUGAUGAAAAGAAAAAUAAACAAUACAUUAUAUUGUACCCAUAUAAAAAGGUAAGUUGCAUUAACCUCUGGCCUAAAUUUUAGAUUCAAAAAUAAAAUAAUUUCAUCUGACAAAUUAUUAUUUUAUCAUUUUUGAGAACAUUCAAAGUAUUUUGCAGAUAAAAAGAAAAUAUAUAAAGAAUAUAAAUACUAUAAAAUA